CUAACCAUAUAAAUAAAAUAAACAAACCUAUUCAUUGAUAGCCAAAAAUAAAAAAAGAGGAGACGCUCUUCUGGCUCAUGCGAUUUCCACAGUAAGAAUACGCAUUAGUUCUGAUCCUCGUUGAAAAAGAAAAUGGUCUUGCCCCCGGAGAUUCCAACAGUCUGGAGACGCGGGGGAAUUAUCAUUAUCAUACCCGCGCCUGCCUGGCCUGACAUGGGUCCCUCCCCGGCAGUCGCCAAACUUUCUUUCACGCCAAAAUCGUCCUCUGCAUUUUCCAAUUUUUACCCAUCUCAUUCCUUACCUUCCCUUCUCUCUCUCUUCUUCCUUGUUAAUUCUUAAUUACUUUUUUUUUUGUUCUUCUUUCUCCCUUUUUCUUUGCCCUACUUACCUACAUUAAAAGGGUGAAAAAAAUCGUAACCCAGUCAGGUUGAACUUUGUCGGAGCCGCAUCGCAUGACCAGUGAUUUUGUUUGCUAUCUCUCUCUGUUGAAGAGUGCGCUUUCACUCACUCACUCUCUCUCUUUUUAUUUCUUCUUUUUUCUGUUUGUUUCCUCACCUGCGAUGCAAUUUCUUCGACAGUAUUUCAGAGCUUGAUCGAAUCGAGUGGGCGAGAAGCGAUACCGAAAUUAUAAAUGCUGAGCCCAAAAGCCGACCUGCCAAGCAAUCCCAAACUGUGCAACUUCCCCCACCACCACGCCGAAGUCAGUUUCUACUGCUCACUAUCAAUAAUCCGCAUAUCGCCCGACGAGGACUUGGCCUUUGCCUUCCGAUCCUUGCGGCGGAAGUAGAUGCGCUUCCCCAACUUCCACGCCUCGACGCCAGCAAAGAACAACAUCGCCUCGAUAAAGACAAUCCCCCACUCCCACGUGAUGCCCUUGUGCUUGAACACGACUGUGUUGAUGACGGGGAUGUACAGCAGCGGGAAGAUGGUGAUGAAACCGGCCAUGAUGGCCCAGAAGAGGAACUGGUUUCGCCACACAUCGUGCAUCCACUGCGUGAAGUACUUCUUGGACUUGGGCUGCAUGCGGAAGAAGCUGCGGCGCAUGUUGACCAUCUCCCACGCGAGGAAGAGCGCGAACCACGUCAAGCAUACGAAGGUCGUGGCGCGCGCGCGGAAGACAGUAUCGCAUUGCUCUGAGUACCUGGUGUUGCAGCCGCGGCCGAGGUUGCCGUCGCCGAACCCGUACACGACCAGGGUGAAGGAGGCGAGGCAGAGAGCGGACAUCCAGAGGCCGUAGGCGAGUAUGUCGAUGAUGAUUUCCCAAGUGAAGAUACCUUGUUUACUUUGUGGUGGACGAUCCAUGAUAUCCGGAGCGGCAAUUUCCAUACCAAGACCCAUAUCAGGCAUUCCAGACGUAAUCAUGAUGAUCCAGAGAAUCUCAACGGGCGCCAAGGGAAACACAGACUGCCUAUCGACAUCCUUGAACGCCAACCCGAUCAGCAACGUACAGGCCUGCGCAAUGUUCUCGGCCAGUAGAUGAAGGACGAAUUUCUGGAUAUUGUCGAAGAUACGGCGGCCCUCCUCGAUGGCGUUGAGGAUCGAGGCGAAAUUGUCGUCGGUCAGAACGAUAUCGGAUGCAUCCUUGGCGACGUCAGAGCCAGAUUCGCCCAUGGCAAUUCCAACAUCGGCAUGCUUCAGGGACGGCGAGUCAUUGACUCCGUCGCCUGUCAUGGCGCAGAAGCGGCCGCGUCGAUGGAGGGCUUGGAUCAUGCGGACUUUGGUAUUUGGGGCGCAUCGGGCAAUGACCAGUGGUAGAGUGGGCAAGGCGUCGACUUCGUCAUCAGUGAGUUUGUCGAAUUGGCCGGCCGUCAUGACCAUAGCGUCGGCAACGUCCUUCGCCACCUUGCUCAUAUCAGAGGGGAUGAUGCCAACUUGAGCAGCAAUGGCGCGUGCGGUACCAGGGUGAUCUCCUGUGACCAUGUGGACGGAGAUCCCGGCGCGGAAACAUUCCUCGAUCGAACCCGCGGUUUCGGGGCGAGGGGGAUCGUACAGGCCAAUCAAACCCCGGAAAACCAAUUCCCUUUCAAUGUCUUCACGAUUGUAAUCGCCGUCCUCCAGCUGGGAGGGUUUGUAUUCCCGUCCGGCUAAAGCCAAAACGCGCAGUCCCUGAGCGGCAAUGACCUCCAUAUUCGCAAGGAUCUGAGAGGUAUGUUCCUCGGUCAACGGGACGCGUCCUUCGCCCUUUUUCCAAACGAUGGAAGUGCACGCCUCAAGAACCCGUUCGACAGCACCCUUCGUGAAUACCAUCUGGCGGCCAUCUUUCAGGUUUUCGAAAAUAACAGACAUCUUUUUGAUGCUCGAAUCGAAGGGGAAUUCAGCUUUCUGGUGCCACUGCGCGUCCGUACCUUUAGUCCACCUGUCCCUGUUCCAGUUGAAGCGGGAUGCGAAGACCUGGAUGGCGAUUUCUGUAGGUUCGCCACGGGCAUGCCAUUCACCAUGCUCCGACUUGUAAACGUGAGCAAGGUUGGCCAUGGACGCGAUAUCGAGGUACUGGACAAGAUCGUCGUUGUCUCUGAGAAGGUCCUCGGGCGAGGUGACUUCAGUCGGUUCGUCGUUGAUUGCUGCUUCCACAGGAGGCAGCGCCUCGAAGCCCAUGGCCCCAGCGUGCGGGUUGAACGGUUCAUUCGAGGUUCCAAUAGAGUAUGUCCCGCUAGACGGAAUCCAUGCCUUCUUCGCCACCAUUUUACCUUGGGUUAAUGUUCCAGUCUUAUCCGAGCAAAUGUUGGUGACGGCACCCAAUGCUUCGAGCGAGUCAAGUUUGCGAACAAUGACGUGUCUUUCGACCAUCCGUUUGGUACCAACAGCCAUCGUAAUUGUCAAGACGACAACCAAACAUGCGGGAAUCAUACUGAGACCGGUAGCGACAGCAUAAAUGAUAACUUCGUUUUUGCUGCUGAACUUGUUUGCAGCCAUAACAAUGAUAGCAAAUAAGACAGCCACUCCGAACAGAAUCAGAGCCAGCUUGGAGAGCUUUCGUUGCAACGGCGUUCCGACGUUGACGCCGAGGAAUCGGCCGACAGCAUCGGUGCCGGUCAAAGCCCAUGCCUGCAAGUACCAGCGCUUUUUGGUUUCACCUUCAGGGGUACGCUUGACAGGACGAAUUUUUGAAUCAGUUGCGCGGAGGGCAGCAGCGAUAGACCCAAUUUCAGUCCUCAUGCCGGUUGAUACGACGACACCGCGAGCACGGCCUCUGGUCACAGUUGAGGAGCUGAAGGCAAUAUUCAGGCGAUCGCCCGGACCGGUAUCCUCUUUAAAGGUCUGGUCUGCAUCCUUUUGCACGGGGAGAGAUUCGCCGGGUAGUAUGAAAUGAUAUCAAGGUAAUCUCACCUUAUAUCUGCAGGGACUGUGUCACCAGUCCUGAGUUCAACCAUGUCACCAGGAACGAUCUCAAGAGACGGGAUGGUGGAGGUAGUUCCCUCCCGCGAGACAUUACCCGUAGGGGAGCUCAAGGAACGCAGAGAAUCCAUCGUCUUCUCCGCAUCGUAUUCCUGGAAGAAACCAACAAUGAUAUUGAGGAUGAUAACGGCAGCGACGACGCCACCUUCAAUCCAAGAUUGAAUGCCAAAACUGACCGCCAUGGCCAUGAUAAGGACCUGUUACAAAGGAUGGCAACAUGCCAUUGGAUCAGACAAACAACGCUCCAUGCAAUCAACGGUGGGGGAAAGGGGUAAAGGAAGUGGGCCGCUUAACUAGCAUCAUUGCGUUAGCCACCUGGCGCACGAGAAUCUUCACGAUGGAGACCUCCUCGCCGCCGUCGAGCAUGUUGGGGCCAUAGAUUUCCAGACGGCGCUUGGCUUCUCCCGUCGAGAGGCCAUCUUCGGGGUCAGUUCCUAGUUCGCGGAUAACGGCGUCAUAGUGUAGGCUAUGAGCGGGGAGAGAGAGGUGGACCUCCUGGGAACCCGUGCUCGAGUUUGACUCGCCGUUUGUUUGGGUAGCGAGUUUCUCAGAUUUCUCCAUGAUGAUGAUGGUAGAAUUGAGACUUUGUUGCAAUACUCAAUAUAUGGCAGUGAUAUUGGUAGUGGUGGGUUUAUUGAUGGUGAUAGGAAACCAGCAAAUGUUAGGGAGCAAUGCAGAGCGAGCGAACAGCGACGGAGGAAUAGCAGGCGGGUC
rnacentral:sRNA from 1 species